UUUGGGCCCAGUCAAAGGGAUGGGGCGCUGUCCUGCCGCAUCCCCCAAGCCCCCUUUCAAGUGCCCAGCGUGCACUUCUCGGAUGGGGCGUUCAGCUUUCUCCCCCCUCCCUCACAGGCUGGCGGAUCAAAGAGACUUGUGUUUAUUUGCACAUUCAAAUCCAGGCUGCCUCCAGUAACCCGAUCCAGGCAGGCGCCAGGGUGGUGCGGGGAAAGCCCCGCCCACGCCCCUCCCCCACCCCGCAGCCCUGGGGCUGCGCUGGGUAAGAGAGGGGACGGGGGUCUCCCGGGGUCAGAGCUGGGAGUGACAGCAGAGUAGGCGAUGAGAAAGUCCAGGCUGCCAGUCUGGGUUCCAGAACGGCCUCUGGUCCUUCCGCCUCAGUGGCAGUGGGGAAACUGAGGCAUCCAAGGGGUUCGAGACAAUGGGGCGCAGGCAGGUGUCCUGGCUGGAGGAAGGCCCACACAGGGGUAGGGGUGGAGCCUGACUUCCAGAUCAGCUUUGUCUUCUACCUCCCCCACUUUCCUGCCUUGCAACCCGGGACCAGUGACCAGAGCCCUGGGGAAGCUUCCCUUAGGAGGUGGCAGGCCUGCAGCCAGAGAGGAGGCUCUAGGGUCCCACCGGUCCAGUUCCAAGGACAAUGGGAACAGUCUCCAGAGUCACUGUUUCCGAGCUGGAAGUGGGGCAGGGGAUUUCCGGAAGCCAAGAUCAGCUCCAGAGCCUUAGGACCCUGAAGCAGAAAGAGAAGCGAGCAGAUUGAAGACAGGAAGCGGGUCCCAUCCGACUUGGCCACCCUAGCCCAUAGCACGGAGCCCAGAGCCUUGCAAGAGCUGCGUGGAUGUGGGAAGAGUGGAUGAGCGAUGCUGCCACCGACUCUCACCUGGGCCAUCCCAGGGCCCUGGCAGGGUAAGCGUGGAACCCAGCGAUGGAGGUGGGGGCUCUGCGCCAGAUCGGGCAUGGACCGGGGUUCGUGGACAGCGACAGCGCGGAGUGUGGUUAGUGGACAGCGACGGCGCGGAGUGUGGUACAUGGACAGUGACGGCGUGGAGUGUGGUUAGUGGACGGCGACGGCGCGGAGUGUGGUCCGUGGACAACGACGGCGUGGAGUGUGGUUCGUGGACAGCGACGGCGUGGAGUGUGGUUAGUGGACAGCGACGGUGCGGAGUGUGGUUCAUGGACAGCGACAGCGUGGAGUGUGGUUGGUGGACAGCGACGGCGCGGAGUGUGGUUCGUGGACAGCGACGGCACGGAGUGUGGUUAGUGGACAGCGACGGCGCGGAGUGUGGUUCAUGGACAGCGACGGCGUGGAGUGUGGUUCGUGGACACCAACAGCGCGGAGUGUGGUUAGUGGACAGCGACGGCGUGGAGUGUGGUUCGUGGACAGCGACGGCGUGGAGUGUGGCUCAUGGACAGUGACUGCACAACAAUGCAGGACAGUGUUUGGCCUCUAGGAUGUGUCUUAGGCUUCCGGCCGAGGUCUUCCUGCUCACCCUUCCUGAUCUGAGCGCCUUUCAAAGACACGCGCGAUCCCCUCGUGUAAAACCUUGUUGGCUGCCCUGCCCGGGGCUGUCCCCAGGACCUCCUGCUGGCCCCUGGCCCCUCUGUGCGCACAGUAGGCCUGGAACUGAAUUCACUGAGAACCCUGGGGUUAAUUUUGCCAAUCCCGUUCUCUCUCUCUCUCUCUCUUUGACACUCUGCCUUUCAAAUAAAUAAACUUUUAAAGAUGCUAA